CUUAAGCGCGUAGGGAGAGGUCCAGGCAAAUCCGGCCCUCAUACAUCCUGAGACGCAAUGCCGAGCCGUUUAAGGCGAAGUCACUAAUCCCAUGCUGCCAAGAAAAGCCUCUAGCGAGCUUGCACGGUACCCGUACCCCAAACCGACACAGGUGGGCAGGUAGAGAAUACCAAGGCGAUCGGGAGAACUGUGGUUAAGGAACUCGGCAAAAUGCCUCCGUAACUUCGGGAGAAGGAGGACCCCAUCAGGGUGAAGGACCUCGCGUCCGGAGCUCGAAGGGGUGGCACAGACCAGGGGAAAGCGACUGUUUACUAAAAGCACAGCAGCGUGCGAAGUCGUAAGACGAUGUAUACGCUGUGACGCCUGCCCAAUGCCGGAAGGUUAAAGGGAAAGGUUAGCCCGCAAGGGCGAAGCUUUGAACUGAAGCCCCGGUGAAUGGCGGCCGUAACUAUAACGGUCCUAAGGUAGCGAAAUUCCUUGUCGGGUAAGUUCCGACCUGCACGAAUGGCGUAACGACUUUCCUACUGUCUCAACCACAGACCCGGCGAAAUUGAAGUACGAGUAAAGAUGCUCGUUAGCUGCAGAAGGACGGAAAGACCCCGUAGACCUUUACUAUAGCUUGAUGUUGAGUUUUGUUAUGUGUUGUGUAGGAUAGGUGGGAGACUUGGAAGCAUUGGCGCCAGCCAGUGUGGAGUCAACCUUGAAAUACCACCCUGCUCAUGACGGAGCUCUAACCCACGUCCCUGAUCGGGAUGGGGAACAGCGUCUGGAGGGUAGUUUGACUGGGGCGGUCGCCUCCUAAAGAGUAACGGAGGCGCCCAAAGGUUCCCUCAGGCUGGUUGGCAAUCAGCCGUCGAGUGCAAUGGCACAAGGGAGCUUGACUGCGAGACCUACAAGUCAAGCAGGUGCGAAAGCAGGGCAUAGUGAUCCGGCGGUUGCGUGUGGAAGCGCCGUCGCUCAACGGAUAAAAGGUACCCCGGGGAUAACAGGCUCAUCUUCCCCAAGAGUCCAUAUCGACGGGAAGGUUUGGCACCUCGAUGUCGGCUCAUCGCAUCCUGGGGCUGAAGCAGGUCCCAAGGGUUGGGCUGUUCGCCCAUUAAAGCGGUACGCGAGCUGGGUUUAGAACGUCGUGAGACAGUUCGGUCCCUAUCCUCUGCAGCCGGAAGGAACUUGAGAAAAUCUGUCCCUAGUACGAGAGGACCGGGAUGGACGCAGCUCUCGUGUGCCAGUUGUCCUGCCAAGGGCACUGCUGGUUAGCGACCUGCGGAAGGGAUAAGCGCUGAAAGCAUCUAAGUGCGAAGCCCAUUUCUAGAUGAGGUUCCUCACUGGGUUAACCAGGUAAGGCCCGUGAUAGACCAACACGUUGAUAGGCCGGAAGUGUAAGCGUGGUAACACGUUCAGCUGACCGGUACUAAUCGGCCGAGGGCUUGGAUUG
rnacentral:rRNA from 1 species